UCUUAGGGAGAAGCUAAAUAGAUAUAUCCCAGCUUUCAGAUAUUUAAGCUACUCUGCUUCAUGGAGAUUACUUAAAUCAAAUAAUUAAUUGUUAAGAGAAAAGCUACUUUCCUUACUAAUCAAACUUCAUCCUAAAGAUGCAUCUUAAUGAAUGGGCUAAGUCAACUCGUUGUGUGAGAGGGAUUGCUCUUGAAAAUUUAUUUCUUGCCUAAAAGCUAUGUGCUAUGUUCCACCUGAAGGACUGCUGUUCUCUUCCUUAGUCUAGUUACCAGUCAUGGAAUAUUCUUUCUGCUGUGAUACACAUAGAAAGAAGGUUCAUGUUGGACUGUUCUGUAAAAUCUUUCCAUGAAAUGCUAGAACUUUAGUGUUUGCUCCAGGAAAAGGAAAAAAAGUUACCCGUCACAAACUGCAUAAAAGCAUAGAAAUAGCUCUGCUGUUCUGAGGAUUCAGCGUGGGCUUAUUGUAGAGCUUAAUGGCUGAGUUACCCAAUCAUAAUGAGCUACUGUGUACAUCAGCUGAGCAUGAUAAAGCACUCCUAAUGCGUCUACAAUGCAAGGGUCUCUCAGUGAAGAAAGUUCUGUUCCUGUUACAAGCUAAGAACUUCAGCUUAGAGUGUGAGUCAAUUGUUUGGAGGAAGCAGUUAAACACCUGCUUGACUUUUGCCAUGUAGAGCAACUCCUCGCAUUUCAGUGGUGUGAGAUCAGACUCUUGACUACAUAUUUUUUCAUCUGUCUUACCUCAUUUUGGUCCCUUUUUGUCUGCACUGCAGGCAGCUGGAGUAAUAGCAGGAAAUGUAUUACGGAAGUGCAGACUACCUGGGAUCAGGACCUUGUUGCCCUGCAGUAUUUGUGUGUUGGCAGCCUGAAGAAAUAGUGACAAGACGCAGGAAUUUCAGGCAAAAAGAACUGACGUAGCUUCCUAAGUCAUGUGGCUGUGACAAAUCCAUUGCGUUAUUGAGUCUGAGGCUCCAGGAAACGAGAACAGAAAGGAUAGCGGGAUGAGGAACAGUCACCGAUCAUUGUCUCUCUGGGUGCAGUUAUUGGCACCAUCCUUACUUCUAGGAAUGACAUUUCCACCUCUCCUCCAUACAUUCACUUGUCUUUGUUCACAAUCUGUUCCUGCCCCAUCACAGAUUUAAUGACUGUUCUGGGAAAGGAGAUGUACACACACAGAUGCACAUCUACAUUUAUGCACAUAUAUUACCACACACACAUGCAUUAUAUGUGUGGCUUCUGAGCUCAUCAGGUUAGCUCAGGCCUGUGCCCAUUGCUUCUGCUGCUCCUUUGUCCCUGCACUUCUUGAGGGACAUCUAAUAGCACAUUUAUAGUGGUCCUAGUUCUGUGUUUUGCAGUUUAUAACAUGCUCUUUGUCAGGUACAAAGGAGAUGGUGAUUAUCAAUCAUUACCGUGUGGACUGGUGGAAGGGGGGACCAGUUCCCCUAGACACACAGAACACUGACAUGAGUUGCUUUGUAUGAGGGAGCCCUCCUGGGCAGUGCGGCAUUGAGAUUACCACAGGUAUAUCCCUCAGUAAAUUUAAUCCUACGUUCACAAGUUCAGUGCUGUUUGCAGGCAAGGCAAAUAUGUUCCUUCAGUAUGUGGGGAGAAAAUCCGUGCUUACUGAUAUAGAAGUACAAAACAGUGUUGGCACAAGGAUUUCUGAAUCUAUUGAGAGUCCUAUCUUGUACUGUUGUAUGAUAAUAGCUGGAAAAUAGUAACUUUGCACUUGAUGGAAAAACAUAUUGUAGAGCUUAAUGAAAUUUCAUCAUGCACUUUUAAUUGAUUUCAGCAAGGGAGACCUUUUCAAAGCAAAUAUUGCUAUUAAUCUAAUUAGUGCUUUAGCUAAUAUACUGAAAUUAUAUUCGUAUAUCAAUAUAUCAAACAAAUAUUUGUACAAGAUACGCAUUUCAAUGACUACUCAGCUGAAAUGAACAAAUUAACUCCUUUGAUUAUAAGGGCCUUGCUUCCUAUAGCUGUACUUUGCAAUUGAUUUUCCUGUGUGAGUGCUUAAAUUCGGCCAUGAAACCACAGUUAAUCCAAAAUAAACAGCUUCCCCCCACCCACCAGUGAUCUGUGCACCUGUACAAUCGAGCAAUAGUGCUUGUUGACAGAAAGCUGUGUUUUGUCAGGGCCUUGCUAAUGGAUCUAAGUCACUGGGUGAGCAUGGCAAGAUCCUUUUGGAAUUGAGCAUUGGUUGUCUUUGUGCUAUUUCCAUUUCAGGAUAAGAGAAAACUGGGUUAUAGUUGCACAACAUGACAUGUCCUGGUACGUUGGUCUUUACACUGUCCAGCAUGUGAACACAUUUUCCUUUUCUUUGAAGCAACCAAGAUGGUGUUGAGUUGUGGAUAUUAUUCCUACAUAGAGCCAGGACAAGGCUGAGACCUGGUGCUCAGAUGUUUUCCAGGGUUUGCUACUUUGGGUAUAUAUCUGUUUUCACUAGUCUUGAAUGCUACUGGACAGCUCUCAGGAAUAUAAGGAAAAAUUAUCAUAUAUAGUUGUAAGUCCUUACUUGGCUCUUUGUCAGCCUCUGUGCAAAUGCAGAAUUCCAUUGAGGCAGGAAUGAGUUUGAUCCUAUGCCCAUUCAAAUCUGUGGCAAAGCUUUUAGCAAGGUGCAAGGAUCAGGCACAUAGGUCAGGAUUUCAGGGAGGACUUAAGUUCUGCCCCUGUCUGCACUGAGUGCAAUCCAGUGCUUUGGUGCCAGACCUUUAGAGCCCAAGUAUAAUAAAUAAGGAUAGUUAGACACUUCAAAAUGGGAUCCAAAACAGCCAGCAGGCUCAAGUGCAAAGUACCAGCUAAAGGUACUGACCACAAGAAUAAGUCUGAAAUUUUACCACUUUCUUGGACUAGGGCACCAGACUCAAAUACUCCAAUCAAACAUGACACUGUGCACUCAUUUGAUAUUGUGAAGAGAGUCCAGAGACCUGACGUCUCUCCUGCUGCUGAGUAUCCACAGCUUUGGUCCCAAAGUGCUGAACAGGAUUCAUACCUCUCUUCGAAUAUUUGUCCAAAGGAGCUUAUAUUCUCACACUAUACAACACCUUAGUGGCUGGAGCUCAUUCAAGAUCUGGAAGAUCCAAGUCCAGUGUCCAACUUUGCUUCAUGUGUUCUUACCAUCACCAAGGGAAGUGUAGGAACAUUCUCCACUGCUCCUGCAAAAACUAUUCUCCUAGUCAGGCCGUAACUCAAAAGAACCAUAGAGGGCACAUAAUGAAAUUUCUCUGUAGCCUCGUGGUUAGGAAACACAGCCGAGGAGGAGGAAUCCAAGGUUUUGAUCCCCAUUUCUAGGACUGUUCACAUAAUUUAUUGCUUGACAUAAAGCUCAGGAGAAAAAGGACUAGAUCUCAGGACUCCUGCUUCUCAGGUAAGUAAAUCCUUUCCAGGUCCCAUCUUUGGUACCCAAAACCUUCAUCAGAUUUCUAGCAGUUUUGAAAUUCAAAGUUUUUCACAAGGCUAUGGAUCUUCCCUGUACCUAUGAUAGGUGUACCAUCUGAAAAUUAAUGGGUUCCAUCUUUGGACAGAAAAGUUACUUCCAUUUUUCUAUACAAAUGCAACUUUUGUUUUGAAUCUUUCUUCAAGUUCUGUGUGAAGUCAUUCUACCUCAAAGGGAAUUAACUCUUAUGUUGAACUUUAGUGUAGUUAUGGCAGUUCUCAUGGGUUCUCUGUUGUGACUCAUAGUAUCAUGUUCUUUUUGUGUGUGUGUCUAGUGAGUAGUUGGCAAAUUCUCCCCAGCUAUGGCAUUAAAAAAAAAAAAAAAAAAAGCAACAACCACAAACGCUGUACUUGAACUGGGUAGAAUUUAAGAAUCCCAGCUGCUUAUGGCUGAGGUUACUGCCAUCCCAGUAUACAUUGGAUGGGACUGUAAAAAGGAAUAACUGAUGGAAAUGUUGGAUAGAAACUGGGAUGAAAGCAGAUGAAUAGAAGGGAUGAAAAGCAGAACGUGAAACGAACAUACCUGUACAGAAUCCUGAAAGAAACAAUCCAUGUUGGGAAUUUUAUUCCUUUUGCAUAGUGCCAAAUGAUUUGUUACUUCUGCCUAGAAAAGCUAGAGCUCUAUUUUUUGGGAGUGCUGAAAAUAUAGAAACUUCUCAUUGUAGUUGGAGUCCUGCAGUGACAUUUCAGGUAGCAGUUGCUUGAACUGCCUGUGUGAAAACUCUGCUCUGCUAUAUGUUAUAGAAAAGAAAUUGUAAUUAAGAAAAUGCACAUUAGCUAACUCUUUUUUUCAAUGAGUUCCAAUACCAUAGAUCACUAAAAAUGAAAAACAAUAAAUGUCAAAUCACA